UACGUAGGGUGCAAGCGUUGUCCGGAAUUAUUGGGCGUAAAGAGCUCGUAGGCGGUUUGUCGCGUCUGCUGUGAAAUCCCGAGGCUCAACCUUGGGCUUGCAGUGGGUACGGGCAGACUAGAGUGCGGUAGGGGUGACUGGAAUUCCUGGUGUAGCGGUGGAAUGCGCAGAUAUCAGGAGGAACACCGGUGGCGAAGGCGGGUCUCUGGGCCGAUACUGACGCUGGAGGAGCGAAAGCGUGGGGAGCGAACAGG
rnacentral:rRNA from 1 species